UGGGGAAUUUUCCGCAAUGGGCGAAAGCCUGACGGAGCAAUACCGCGUGAGGGACGAAGGCCUGUGGGCUGUAAACCUCUUUUGUUAGGGAAGAUAAUGACGGUACCUAACGAAUAAGCAUCGGCUAACUCCGUGCCAGCAGCCGCGGUAAGACGGAGGAUGCAAGCGUUAUCCGGAAUUAUUGGGCGUAAAGCGUACGUAGGCUGUUUCAUAAGUCUGUUGUCAAAGCCCGAGGCUCAACCUUGGAUCGGCAAUGGAAACUGUGAGACUAGAGAGAGAUAGGGGCAGGAGGAAUUCCAGGUGUAGCGGUGAAAUGCGUAGAUAUCUGGAAGAACACCAGUGGCGAAAGCGUCCUGCUGGAUCUCAACUGACGCUGAAGUACGAAAGCUAGGGGAGCGAAUGGGAUUAGAUACCCCAGUAGCCCUAGCCGUAAACGAUGGGUACUAGGUGUUGGUCGUAUCGACCCGAUCAGUGCCGUAGCUAACGCGUUAAGUACCCCGCCUGGGGAGUACGGUCGCAAGAUUGAAACUCAAAGGAAUUGACGGGGGCCCGCACAAGCGGUGGAGUAUGUGGUUUAAUUCGAUGCAACGCGAAGAACCUUACCAAGGCUUGACAUGUCGUGAAUCCUCUUGAAAGGGAGGAGUGCCUUCGGGAGCACGAACACAGGUGG
rnacentral:rRNA from 1 species